rnacentral:rRNA from 1 species
AUUGAACGCUGGCGGCAGGCCUAACACAUGCAAGUCGAGCGGAUGAAGGGAGCUUGCUCCUGGAUUCAGCGGCGGACGGGUGAGUAAUGCCUAGGAAUCUGCCUGGUAGUGGGGGAUAACGUCCGGAAACGGGCGCUAAAACCGCAUACGUCCUGAGGGAGAAAGUGGGGGAUCUUCGGACCUCACGCUAUCAGAUGAGCCUAGGUCGGAUUAGCUAGUUGGUGGGGUAAAGGCCUACCAAGGCGACGAUCCGUAACUGGUCUGAGAGGAUGAUCAGUCACACUGGAACUGAGACACGGUCCAGACUCCUACGGGAGGCAGCAGUGGGGAAUAUUGGACAAUGGGCGAGAGCCUGAUCCAGCCAUGCCGCGUGUGUGAAGAAGGUCUUCGGAUUGUAAAGCACUUUAAGUUGGGAGGAAGGGCAGUAAGUUAAUACCUUGCUGUUUUGACGUUACCAACAGAAUAAGCACCGGCUAACUUCGUG